rnacentral:rRNA from 1 species
AGAACGAACGCUGGCGGCAUGCCUAACACAUGCAAGUCGAACGAGACCUUCGGGUCUAGUGGCGCACGGGUGCGUAACGCGUGGGAAUCUGCCCUUGGGUUCGGAAUAACAGCGAGAAAUUGCUGCUAAUACCGGAUGAUGACGUAAGUCCAAAGAUUUAUCGCCCAAGGAUGAGCCCGCGUAGGAUUAGCUUGUUGGUGAGGUAAGAGCUCACCAAGGCGACGAUCCUUAGCUGGUCUGAGAGGAUGAUCAGCCACACUGGGACUGAGACACGGCCCAGACCUCCGUACGGGAGGCAGCGAGGUGGGGAAUAGUUGGACAAGUGGGACGAAAGCCGUAGAGUCCAGACAAGUCGCCGCGGUGAGUGAGUAGAACGGGUCCGUUAAGGGUUACGUAAA